CCCCUUACCUGGCGGAGGACAGACAGUGUUAGGAAAGGGGUUCUCCCUGGACUAGGCUAGUCCACCGCACUUCGGCUGCGCUGACCCCUGCGAUUUCCCCACACGCGGGGCCCUCGUCUGCGGU
ensembl:snRNA U1 U1 spliceosomal RNA